CGACUUGGUUUGAAGAAUUAUGCAACUAUUCUUUCUUUCUUCUUGUUUAUUAUUUUACAACCUAUUUUUCACAGCGUAAUCUUUCUGUAAAUGUAUCAUGUGGUGUUGGCAGAGCAAGUUUUACAUGGGUUUGGUGUAUUACAAAAGUCUUCAUCUUUCACAAUCACACCACACCUUUUCAAUUCGCCGUCUGAAAUGUAGA
rnacentral:lncRNA from 1 species